GAUGAACGCUGGCGGCGUGCUUAACACAUGCAAGUCGAACGGUGAAGCAGGAGCUUGCUCUUGUGGAUCAGUGGCGAACGGGUGAGUAACACGUGAGCAACCUGCCCCUGACUCUGGGAUAAGCGCUGGAAACGGCGUCUAAUACUGGAUAUGUGAUGUGACCGCAUGGUCUGCAUCUGGAAAGAAUUUCGGUUGGGGAUGGUCUCGCGGCCUAUCAGCUUGUUGGUGAGGUAAUUGCUCACCAAGGCGUCGACGGGUAGCCGGCCUGAGAGGGUGACCGGCCACACUGGGACUGAGAAACGGCCCGGACUCCUACGGGAGGCAGCAGUGGGGGAUAUUGCACAAUGGGCGGAAGCCUGAUGCAGCAACGCCGCGUGAGAGAUGACGGACUUCGGGUUGUAAACCUCUUUUAGCAGGGAAGAAGCGAAAGUGACGGUACCUGCAGAAAAAGCACCGGCUAACUACGUGCCAGCCGCCGCGGUAA
rnacentral:rRNA from 1 species